rnacentral:rRNA from 1 species
UACGUAGGGUGCGAGCGUUGUCCGGAAUUACUGGGCGUAAAGGGCGCGUAGGCGGCCUGUUAAGUCGGACGUGAAAUCCCUCGGCUCAACCGGGGAACUGCGUCCGAUACUGGCGGGCUUGAAUUCGGGAGAGGGAUGUGGAAUUCCAGGUGUAGCGGUGAAAUGCGUAGAUAUCUGGAGGAACACCGGUGGCGAAGGCGGCAUCCUGGACCGACAUUGACGCUGAGGCGCGAAAGCCAGGGGAGCAAACGGG